rnacentral:rRNA from 1 species
GACGAACGCUGGCGGCGUGCCUAACACAUGCAAGUCGAACGAAAAGACCAGGAGUUUGCUCCUUUGACGUUAGCGGCGGACGGGAGAGUCACAUGUGUGUACCCUACCUAUCAGACUGGGAUCAUUACGGGAAACCGGCUCUUAUACCGGAUGAUAUUUCGCAUCGCGUGGUUCGAUGGUGAAAUUUGGCUUUGCUGUCACUACUAGCUGGACAUGCGCAGUAUCAGUUGGUUGGUAAGGUCAAGGCUUACCAAGGCGAGGAGACGUAGCCGACCGCAGAGGGUGGUAGGCCACAUGGGAUGUGAGACAGAUUCCAGACUCCUGCGAGAGGCAGCAGUAGAGAAUCUUCCGCAAGGGGGGAGAGCCUGACAGAGCAACGCGGCGUGAGUGAUGAAGGAGCACGGAUCGGAAAGCGCUGUUAUUAGGUGAGAACAAACGUGGAAUUAACUGGGCAGGUAUUGACGGUACCGGGUCAAAAAGCCCCGGCUAACUACGUG